rnacentral:rRNA from 1 species
CCUACGGGGGGAAGCAGUGAGGAAUAUUGGUCAAUGGGCGCGAGCCUGAACCAGCCAAGUAGCGUGAAGGAUGACUGCCCUACGGGUUGUAAACUUCUUUUAUAAAGGAAUAAAGUGAGGCACGUGUGCCUUUUUGUAUGUACUUUAUGAAUAAGGAUCGGCUAACUCCGUGCCAGCAGCCGCGGUAAUACGGAGGAUCCGAGCGUUAUCCGGAUUUAUAGGGUUUAAAGGGAGCGUAGAUGGGUUGUUAAGUCAGUUGUGAAAGUUUGCGGCUCAACCGUAAAAUUGCAAUUGAUACUGGCAGUCUUGAGUACAGUUGAGGUAGGCGGAAUUCGUGGUGUAGCGGUGAAAUGCUUAGAUAUCACGAAGAACUCCGAUGGCGAAGGCAGCUUACUAAACUGCCACUGACAUUGAUGCGCGAAAGUGUGGGUAUCAAACAGGAUUAGAUACCCGUGUAGUC